rnacentral:lncRNA from 1 species
GCCUCAUGACCAAGGUCACCUAACAACAUCACAAGACGAUGACAUCACCAUCAGCUCUGGCCCAGAGCUCAAAUAACGGAGGGAAAGGGCAGGUCAUCCUCACGGCAGGGUGACAGAGCUGGUGCCAGGCCUCUGCCAACUAUCAGGGCCCAGGAGUGUUGCUGAAAGCUACCCAGGAGCAGCUCAUCCCUGCCUCCGCUCAGCCAGCGCUCUCACAUGCUCAGAACAGUAGAGUCUCACCAACAGGGGUCCCCACCCCCACCUUUUCCUAGAAGCAAGGUUAGCAACUGCCAGAGUCAAAAUAGAUGUGGAGAGAAUUGUGUGGCAACACUCGGGUUUAGUUCAAGCACACUGGAUUGCACGAUAUCCUUAGAGGGCAGAGCCAUUGCAGGAGGGAUCAAAGCAGCCGGCCUUGCUCUUCGGGCUGAUGUUUCUGCCAUGCUGCAUGUCAAACAAUCAUGUCUUUGGAGCCCAGAUGCCCUGCUUUGUAGGUAAGCCACGUGUAGAACUUCAUGUAAGGAAUCAUUCUGUCAAAGUAAAUAGUUGUCCCAAACUAUUUAUUUCAUGUGCUCUGGUGGCCUGCACCUGUAUUCUCACAAUACACACAAACACACAUACACACACACCAUUUUACCAAUGUGCACAUACAUAUAUACACACACAGCAUAAGAUAAAAUGUACCAUCUUAACAAUGUAUAAGUAGAAGCACUCACAUUGUUGUGAAUGACUGAAGAUGUCCCCUACCUGCCAAGUCCCUGUUCCACAACACAGUACUUUAUUACUUUGUCUAGACUUCUUUUUCAAAGGUUUCAAAUCCAUGGGCAGUAUUCAAAAUAUGAGAAGAAAGCUGUGGCGUGUAAAAGGAACUUUUAUUUACCUGUACUAAUUGUUGUCUCCAAGGCCUACUGCCUCAAUCUGCUAACCUAGGCCUAAUCCUAGAAGCUUCUAGCAACCAUACAAUCUUAGCUAGGCCUAGAAUGUCUCAGCUUCUGAAACUUACUGCUGAACAAAUUCACUGUUUCUAUUUCUUUUUGAGCUCUGGCUGACUGGUUCAACUCAGCUGUUCUGGCUCAAACUCCUCUCCAAGCUGACUGAUUGAAUCUGGCUUCUCUUGGUCUCUGACUGAAUUGCCCUACUCGGCCUCAAACUAACUCUAGCAAUCUGUUCUAAUCUUCUGGCUCCUUCUCAUUCUCUGGCUCAUUCUGUCUUUACCUUCUCAUUCUCACUUUCAAAUAUGGGUGCUUCCUUCUACAAACUAACUUUCUCUUCGUUGUUUAGAAUUAAAGGUGUGUACUAAGAUCGAGCCACACUACAACUAGAAACGGGUUUUUCCAGUGAACAAAACAAUCUCAGGGUUCACACUGUGAUCAAAUAUCCUGCAACAGUGGAGCACCUUCAUCCUUCAUCACAGCCGCACAUCGCUAGGGAGAAUCCAAGAUUGGUAAAAAGAUAGCUGGCCUCGGAUUGACUGGAGUAAAGACUCUCCAGACAGAAGGCCCAGCUUGCUGCCGACCCCCAGGCUCCCCAGACCACUGGAGCAGCAUUCAGAUACAUGGCCCAUCUCACCCACCUCUUACCCCACCUGCCUUUCUCACCUUCCUCUCCUCCUUCAAACCAAACCCACUGGCUGCUUUGCUAUUCCUCACACAGGUCAGGCUCAGUGCCUCCUAAGUCCCUUCCCACUGGACCCUCCCUCCCCUUAGAAUCAUCUCCAGUUGUGCUGAGCAACAGCCCCACUUGCCAAGUUCAUAAAAUUCUUGAUGAUCAAAAUAUCCUACACCAACUAAGUCACAGUUUCUAGAGCCUUCUGGGUUGAUAUUUAAACACAAACAAACAAAAGAGUAAAACAUCUCCUCUAAGAAGUCUAGUGUGUAGCCGCUUUCAGAGCCAAUGUCUGGAUGAGUGUUUUUCAAAAUGCAAUCUCAGGUCAGUAGAAGCAGCAACAGUACCUGGAGAUGUGUUAGAAACUCAAUGUGCUUAGAACAAUAGCAAAGCAAGACCUCCUUCCCAAUUCCUAAGAUACCAAAUGAGCAAUUUGGGGUAUAGAGUCAGGAGCACACAUUUAAACAAGCUCUGAGGUGACAUGCCUACCAGGUUCUGAGAAGUACUGGCUUCCAUCCUUCAUGUUCAACCUGUCUUGUGGGUCGGGAGCACAAGAAUUCCCCGAAGCUGUCAGAGUUCAGAUUCCCAGUGCCAUCCCCACUAGCAAACAAGACCUGUUGGAUCAACUGUUCUUGGUGAUUCAUACAUGUUAGGAAUUGAGAUGUCUCUCAUCCCUGUCUUGAGGGACUCAGAAGCCAUGAAACACUGGGAGAAGAGCCUGGCCUGCCUGGGUCUCACAUCUUAAUUAUCUUUGCACACUGAAAGGCUCAGGCUUGGUAGAGAAAAGGCUCAGGCCAGGGCUGAGGCAAAGAAAGAACCAGAGAAUCUUGAAACAUCCUACUACGUCAGAGAGCAGGGGAAAACCUGCGGAUGUAGCCCAGUCAGCAAAGUGCAUGGCCCUGUAAGCACUAAGACUUAAAUCUGAUCCCUGUAUUCACUCUAAAAGGCUGGACAUGGUGGCGUGCGCUUGUAAUCCUAGUGAUGGGUAAACGGAGACAGCUGGAUCCCUAGGGCUCCCUGGUGAACCAGCGUAACCAACUUGGGGAGUUCCUAGCCUGUGAGGGAAUGUCUCAAAAAUAGGUGAGCAGGCUGUGCCUGAGGAUAUCAUUUGAGGUUAUCCUCUGGCCUCUCCAUACCCGCCUGCAAGUAAGUGUAUCUGUACACAUGCACACACGUGUGUGCACACCUACAUACACACAAAGCAAGGAAACUUCAAAAAUGAGGGUGAUGCCAGCUCCAGAAGCCAGUUUAAAGAGUGGUCUGAUUUUAGAUGAAUCUGAUUGUAGUGAUACAAACUAUUAAUGUGUGAAUCUGUGAUUUUGUAGUUAUAAGAUGAUUAUAGAAAGAAGUGUGAACACAAAAACUCCUUCUCACAGUAAAAUACCAACUUCUAGAGUAGAGAUUUGGUUCAGUGAGCCUUAGGGCACCCAAAACCCAUGUGGGUAAGGGGCUUGGCCUUAGAUUACGGUGCCAUUGGGUGGCCGUGGGAACUCUAGGAAGCAAGACCCAUUGGGAAGAACCUAGUAAAGUGAGGGCGUGACGUUGGGACCUGGCCCAUCCCUCUGCUUUCUUUCUACCGUGGAGCAGGCAAACGGGUUGUCUGUGCCACAUGCCUCCUCCAUGAGAUCAUAGCUUACAAUGGGCCCAAAGCAAUAGGGGCCAAGUGAUCAUGGACUUUCACUUCUGAAGCCAUGAGCUAAAAUUAUCCUUUCUUCUCAGAUAUUUUUUCAGGUGACAGAAAGCUGGCUAACCCACAACUACCAAGGAGAAGCAAAGAUAAAGGCAAUUGCCCAUGAAUGGUAAAAAUGAAUUAGGGCCCAAAUAGAUGGAUGGUAAAAACGCCACCUCUUCUCCCAACAAGCGACAUAGUCACUACUGAGAGGAGACCGAUGGCAGAGUAGACCAGCGAGGUGGAGUCCUCCUUAACCCAGCUAUCCCACAAAUCAGCACCAUGUGCCUCCUGCCACUGCACACUGCUGAUUCCAUAUCACUCUGGGUCUCCUCCCGCCAGAAUGUAAACUUCCUAAGCAUGGAGAAUGUCUCCAUCUGAUGCGUCCUUCAGACCGCAGGCGCCUCAUGGAUACAUGUGGAACGAUAAAUGAAGAACCCGUUUCCCCAUCUGCAGGACAAACAGCUCCGGGUCCAACAGCCAGGCUCUUUCCUGGUCUGACAAUGAAAUGAAGAAUCUGAGGAUGUGAGUGCUUCAGUGGAGUUCCGGGGACCUCUCUAUGCUGCCUGGGCAGAGGUCAAGUUCAGUAGCUCACCCUGCCUUAGCCUCCAAGCACACAUAGGCACAUGCCACCAUGCCUGGCUUGGGCCUCCGCUUUAACUCUUCCUUUCUCAUAUAACCCUCUCCCUGAUCCUACAACCCCUCUGACAACGUUGAAUUCAGUUCAUUCUCGAUGAGCUGAUAGGCACUGAGCACCUACCUAUUGAGCACUGGGAACCCAGGGUCUGGUCCCUAAGGAGCUUGGCACGUUAACAGGAGCUUGGCUGAGAAACACUAGGACUUAGUUGCUUAACUGGCUAGCAUCACGUAGCAAAUACACAGCUGGGCUGGGAAGCUGCUUGGCUCUCUACACUGCAGGUGAGAUGCUACCCUAAAGACUAGAAGCAGUGGAGCAGAGUGUGCUCAAGUGCCAGGUGGCUCCCCUCAGAGCUUACAAGCCCACCAGUGUCCCACGACCUCAGCCUUUGUCCUCUACCGUACCCUUCUGGCAGAGAGGGAACGUGCGGGAUCUCGGCUCUUUCUGGUUGUGUUUCUCAUUACUCCACAGCCUUCAGGCCGGUUUUCUUUAGAUAAACCCGAGACUGCUCUGCUUGAGCAACGGUCAAAUUCAACCCAAGAAGUAAUCUAAGUUGGAGAUGCAAUCAAAUAACCUUGGCAGGGGGGAAAAAACCCAAUAACAACAAAAAGGAAAAACAAAGUAACAAAACAAAAACCCACUUCAAAAAAAAAAAAAAUGUCUCCAGAAGAAACUGAGCAUGAAGAAUUGAAACAAUGUAAGAGAACAGGAUAUUUCUUAAAAAGAUGUUUUAUUUCUCUUCAGCUCAUUGAUCUUGUCCCUCCCUAGAAGUUUGAAAGCUUUCUCUGCCAAUUAAUCUCUACACUCAUAACCAGCCCCUACCCCCUCUAUAAUCUUCAGCCUCCAAAGCAAGGACUACAGUUAGCAAGACAAAUGUUUGUCUUGGAAGAUCAAUUACCGCACUGGGAGGUCUGAGAUUCCUGGGGUUUAGUGCGUGCCUUGCCUUGGACUUGCUCGGUGACCUUCGGAUCUCUGUGCAGGGGUGUCUGAGACUACACAAGGAGCCAUGUCCUGAGAUUGCCCUGAGUUCCCGAAGAGGGUACUUGGCCAAGGAUAUGAUUUAUCUAUGCCCAUAAAUGCUGCUCUCCCUCCUUCAGGAAGCCAGCUAAUUAUGUUAAGAAUUGAAAAUGCAUUUUCUGUGGGCAUUUGAAGGACGGUCUUUACAGGAAUGUGUGGCAGAGAGUGUGUGAAUAAAAGAGACACAUUAACAAAG